GCCUGGAUGGCUCAGUUGGUUAAGUGUCUGACUUCAGCUCAGGUCAUGGUCUCGUGGCUCGUGGGUUCCAGCCCCACGUCGGGCU
rnacentral:tRNA from 1 species